rnacentral:snRNA from 13 species
AUACUUACCUUGUCUGAACUGCGGUGGAUCAAGAAUCACUGUAGUUAGGUUGGAAAGCCUGCAUAGCACAUCGUGGCGCUGACCAGUCUGGUUUGUCCUUCGGGGCCGACCUGGGCGGAAUUUUUGAUAUCCCAAUCAGUCGUCCUGAUGCCUCUUUUC